rnacentral:rRNA from 1 species
UACGGGGGGAGCAAACGUUGUUCGGAAUUACUGGGCGUAAAGGGCGUGUAGGCGGCCAUAUAAGUCGGGGGUGAAAUCCACUGGCUCAACCAGUGAAGUGCCCUCGAAACUGCAUGGCUUGAGUAUGGCAGAGGGAAGUGGAAUUCCAGGUGUAGCGGUGAAAUGCGUAGAUAUCUGGAAGAACACCGGUGGCGAAGGCGACUUCCUGGGCCAAUACUGACGCUGAGGCGCGAAAGCCAGGGGAGCGAACGGG